CUGCGACUUAGCCGUUGGGUGCCUGCUUCCCCGUAGAUCUUAGAACUGGCUGAAGGGUCCCGGCCGCCGGGCCGGUAGCUUGGCUUGUUGUGGCUUCAGAGCAUUUCCUUCUCAGCUUCCCUUUCUUCGCUCUCCAGCCAGUCGUCGUUUCCCCUCGACCACCGUCUUCACCUCUUUCUCACCCGUGUAGACGCUUCUCACGCUCGCCAGGCUUUGCAUUUAUCUCCUUGUUGAAAAUGCCGCAAAUUUUCCCGCCCAGUUUUCCUUUAUACCUGAAGCAGAGGUCCCCCCUCCUGGUUUUUUUUUCUUUUCCUGGCGCGAAUUCUAGGCAAGUUAAACCUUCCUAAAUAGCUAUCUAUGUUGCAGCGAUGUGGUCCUGUCCUUGUUCGUUGUUUUGGUCGACCUGACUUUGGGUUUGAAGCAAUAGAAAUAAAAACUAGUUUUUAAGAAAGAAACUCACGAGAAACAGAGUGUCUUUUUUGUACUCCUUUUGCGGUGUGAAUUUCUCAAAUGUACAUUCACUUUUACCUUGUCUUUCGGAGCGGUAUUCUCGCAGUUGAACACCAUGGUUAUUCUGAACUGUAAUACAUCAACCUUAGAUCCAACUUGUUAAAACAAGCAGGUGUCUUUUUAAAGAACCUUUAGAGGAAAGUUAGUGUAUUCUGAUUAAAAAGUGAUUUUGUCAGUCUCAUUUAGUCCCCAGUUAUUUUGAAAUGGCAUGGACUUGAAAAUGUUAGUGUGGGGAGUGAAAAAUUAGAUCAUUCUGUUUUUGCAUCUGAGUUUUAAAUCCUGAGUAAUUCCCUUUGGAGUGUUGCACCCACACAGUUUGAGAAAGUCAUGUCUGUUGAAAUAACUCAUUUCUGGCUUCAUAGCAUAUAAAUUCCGCAUAAAUGGUUCAUAAGUGAAAAACCAGUUGUGGGAGAAUUUGUAUGUGGCUUAAUUAAUUUCACUUUCCCCGCUCUCUAGUAAUUGAUGGAAGGGUGUCUUUGCAAGUAGUUGAUAGUUCCCCAUAGAUACCAGAAAUGGGGGAAGUACCCAGUUAGGUCACUUAGCUUCUGAGUCAUGGGUCUGCAGAGUUCACAGUCAAGUGGAGGAGGCUGGAAGGGUUUAACUGUCAGGAAUGGUGGUAGGUAGGAGACAACACCGAGAGGGCCCAGCUGUUCCCCUGCUGCAUGAAUAACUUUUAAAAAUUGCCCUAGAGUAUUAGUUUUCCUUGAUGGGAGAGACUCUUGUUUUCUGCUCUUUAACUUAUGAGUGGGCGUGCGGAGACGUGGCGCUGUGUUUGCUCUCGCCUGCUUCCAUUGGCUGCUGAAGGUGAAAAACCCAUUUAAAAGGACACGUUAAAGUGCAGUUCCAGAGCCACAGGCCUCUAAAGGAGAAGGUGACCUGACUCAACUCCAUUGUUGGCAGCUGCUCUGAAAGUGGAAAUCAGGACAGCAGAGGACGUCAGGGAGUUCAUCUCACUGGUCGCUGGUGUCUGCGGCUUGGCUUGGCUGUUUAUAAAUGCCCCUAGCAGCAUCCUCGGCUCUCCCCACACCCGUGCCUUCUGUUGCCUCCUGGAGUCCCAGGGCCCUGCCCCGCCACACCCGCUCCUGUUCCGCCCAGGUCACCGAGUCUGCUCCCUGCCUGCCCUUGGUGUCCAGGACUCUGCUCUCCUCCCCUGCGGUUCGGGGUAGAUGCUCAGGAGGUUUGGCAUAAGAAACUUCGCCUCCUUUUCCGGUCCUCUUCCUGCCACGCCGACAACAGGCAUUUCACGUUUCCAGCCCAUCUUCACACUGUGGGUGAGGCCAGCUGCUAGGCGCAAGGUGGCCCAUGUCUAAACUCUUCACAGCUGAUGACACAUUGCCUGGGCUGUUUGGGUGGUGGUGAUGGGGUGCCCUGGGUGUGGGCAUGGGGUUCAGAUUCAGGAGGAUGUCCUGGGAGUGAGGGCAAUGUCAGAGGCCAAUGGCUGGCCUGUAGGUCUUGACCUUUUUUAGGGACAUGUCUGAGGCCUUGGGGACUCUUUGGAUUUGUGUGGGCCGCAAACAUUGAUUGACCUCUGAAAACCAACCAUGUUGAGCUGCAGAUAGGCCCUGGAGAAACCCCUAAGGAGAGUGCUCUCCCACACUCAGGGUUUGAGGUCUGCCUGUGUGCAUGGGGGCCCAGCCACUCUGCCUCCAAUUCCACCGUUACCCCCACUCUGUUGAAUGCUAGAAAGUUCUCUUCAAAGCCACUCUACCCCAGUGGGGGUGGUCCCAGCCUCAGCAGAGCCUGCGGGGGCCUGACUGGUUGACACUGACUUCUGCAGUCUGCAGGUGGGUGUGUUGUUGGGGGGAAGCAUCGCGACCCCCAGCUGCAGGCCCAGCUCGGAAGGUGUUCCUGUUGGGUGGCGCUGGCAGUGGACCUCGCGGCUCAUCUUGGAGUUUGCAUCCAGCCAAAGCCCAGAGAGGGGCUUGAGCCCACAGUCCUUUAGUUAAAAUCGCAUACCUGGUAUCAGGACUGAAUGAAGCCCAGCGUCUUUAUGUUUUGUCACGGAAAGAAUUCAGUGUGAGACAAAGUGGUAAGUGCAUUUAGAGAGAUACACAUUCCAUAGACAGAAAGCGAUCCGUCUCAAAGAGCAAGAUGGGCCUUGGGAGAAACACAAACCACGGAGUGUGGGCCAUCUCAGAAGGCAAGAGGCCCCGGAAAGUGGGCUGGUUAGUUUUUUAUAAGCUGGAUAAUUAGCAGGAAGCUUCCCAGGUGGCUCAGUGGUAAAGAAUCUACCUGUCAAUGCAGGAGACCUGGGUUUGAUCCCUGGGUUGGGAAGACCCCCUGGAGAAGGAAAUGGCAACCCACUACAGUGUCCUUGUCUAGGAAAUCUCAUGGACAGAGGAGCCUGGUGGGCUUCAGGCCAUGGGGUCGCAAGAGUCGGACACGACUUAGUGACUAAACAACAACAGCGAGUCGGAGGUUUAUUCCAACUAUUUUGGAAAGGGGACAGAGACUUUUAGGAAUUGGGCCACUGCUCACUUUUUGGCCUUUUAUGCCCGGCCUCUGGACCGUCAGGAUGCCCCUGGCCAUGCCGUGUAGAUAAGAGCCACAAUAAGCGUAUAAGGAGGCUCAAGGUCCUCUGGAAGUUGAAUCUUCCACCAUCUUGGACCCAGUUGGUUCUAACCGGUUUAUGUCCUAUCAUCAAGGGCUCUGUCGUUGUCUCAGAGGCUGGGCCCUGCCCCCUUCUCUCCUUUUCAAAGGCAUUUAGAGGCCUCAGGCCCUGAAUAAGAUCUGACCUUCAGAGCUACCAGCUUCCCUGGUAGCUUGGACGGUAAAGCGUCUGCCUACGAUGUGGGAGACCUGGGCCCGAUCCCUGGGUCGGGAAGACCCCCUGGAGAAGGAAAUGGCAACCCACUCCAGUAUUCAUGCCUGGAAAAUCCCGUGGACCAAGGAGCCUGGUGGGCUACAGUCCAUGGGGUCGCAAAGAGUCGGACACGACUGAGCGAAUUCUCUUCUCUUCUCUCUUCUCUUCAGAAGGCAUCUCUGCAGGCUGUCAGCUCCGAGAGCAGGUGAGCCCUGCAGAGAGACCCAAACAGGACACACAGACAGGUGUGGAUGGAGACAGGAGAGGACUCCCUGGGCUGCCCCCGCACCUGGCUGCCAACCUGUCACAACUGAGCCUGGGCUGAGGAUCUGGCCCUGGAGAUCAAGAACCUUCCAGACCUUCGAUUAGAAGCCUCAUCCCCGUGGAGCGUACACAAGCCGUACAGGCGUGGGCCAGAGCUCAUGUCUCUGCUGCACCAAGCCCAUUUCCUCAGCUGUCCCGAGGUGGCAAGGUGUUUGUUAUCGGCUCCUGGGAGGCACCGCCGUGGCCUGGGGCAGACUCUGACUUCUGGUUCUGAGUUGACUCAGGCCGGAGGGACUGGCACUCCCUCCCAAGUCCCAAGCAUCUGUCCACCCUGAUAGGGCUCGUUUGUGUGUCUGAUGGGGCUGGUUUGUGUGUGGUUGGAACCCUCCCCCUGCUGAAUCAGGGCAGACGUCUCCAAGGGUUUUAUUUUUAUCCUUCAGCCGCAUGUGUCUGAAACCACCGAAUCAGGAAGGUGUCAUAAAUUAAAUCUCUACAGCAGUCCCUGCGGCCUGGCUCCCUGCCCAGAAUGCCGAGGGCCCCAGGAGGAGGCUUCUGCCAGUUCCGUGAGCAGCCUGGCUCUCCCAGCUGACGGGUGCUGCCCACGGAGGGUCUACGAGGUGCCAGGUGAGGUCUUGGGUGCUUCCCACACAGGUUCCCACCUAUAGCCAUGGAGUAGCUAUCCCCACUUUACAGAUGGGGAAACCGAGGCUGGGAGGUGAGGCUUGUCCCAGGUCACCCUGCAGGUGAGAGGCAGAGCUGCCACCCCAGCUGGGUCUGCCUGUGUCCAGAGGCUGUGCCGCCCCUUGCGCAGAGCGGAAAAGACAGAGACCCCAAAGGUCACUGUUGCUGAGUCUUACUCCCUGCUGCAGGACAGGCCAAUAAAUGGGAGAUGAGCUGCUGGGGCAAAGAAUAGCAAUUACUUUGGACAGCCAGCACACCAAGAAGGUGGUGGAUUUGUGUCCCAGAGAACCAUCUUCCCUGAGCUAGAGUUCAGGCUUCUUUUCCUUCUUUUUUAUUUUCUGGCUGUGUUGGGUCUUAGGGGCAGCAUGUGGGAUUCUCGUGGCAUCCUACAGACCUUUCAUUAAGGCCCAUGGACUCUCUAGUUCAGGCACAAGUGCUCAGUUGUUCCGCGUUCCGUGCAAUCUUAGUUCCCUGACCAGGGAUCAAGCCCACGUCCCCUGCAUUGCAAGGUGGAUUCUUAACCACUGGACCACCAGGAAGGUCCCUUCAGGCUUCUCUCAUACUGAAACAGGAGAGCUAAAGUCCUGGUUUCCGCCAGAUGCUGGAGGGGACGUGUUCCUUUCUUCCCUCCUGCAGCCAUUCACUGGUGGGCCUGAUCAGGAGGUUUCCUGUGAGCUGAGCAAAAGUCUUUUAGCUUAACUCGCAUUACCUUGGAAGCAGGGUUCCUAGAGAUGGGCCGUCGUGUAUCAUUUAAGCGGACAGGUAUCAUCCCUUUUGUGGUUAACUUGUGCACGCGUGCGUGCUAAGUCAGUUCAGUCGUGCCCGACUCUGUGACCCUAUGGGCUGUAACCCACCAGGCUCCUCUGUCCAUGAGAUUUUCCCGACAAGAAUAUUGGGGUGGGUUGCUAAUUUCUCCUCCAGGGGAUCUUCCUGACCCAGGGACUGAAACUGCACCUCUUAUAUCUCCUGCCUUGGCAGGCGGGUUCUUGACCUCUAGCGCCACCUGAGAAGACCCAGUUAACUUGUAAUCAGAUACAAAGUUCUUUUCUACUCUAUCGUGACCACUGCUGCGGGAGGAGAGUGCAAGAGAGGUGAGCCUCCAGCUCAGGCUCACAGAUCCAGCAGCUUCUGGAGGAGGUGAUGCUUGGGCUUGGCAUGAGGGGUUUGGAGAGAGAUGGGGAAGGCACGUAAGGUGAG
ensembl:lncRNA